rnacentral:lncRNA from 1 species
ACACACCUUGUAACUUGUCUGAGAAGCAUAAUCCUCUGGAACCUAAAGGACACUCUUCAUGCAAGAGCAAUGUGAAAUAAUUUUAGAAUGAGAUUCUAUUCUCCUUUGAAAGCAGAUCAUCUCGCAGCAUAUUAUAACAUUGUAAAAAAUCAUUUAUGUCUGAAUACCUUCAUACACUUAAGAUGAAAGUGUUACCACAGUCAUAGGAUCGUUCUUACAGUAAGGGGGUAAUGUUAGUUGUAUUUUCCUGCUCUCUCAACUCAAAUGAUGGAAUACUCAGUCUGCUUUCUAGUUGAGAUUCUUUUUAAACUGUUGAAUGAAGCUUGUCAAGUUUUAGAUUUUUGGGGGAUGGUGUCUCAUAUCUUCAAAGAUCACACUGGUUUUCCCAUAGUGUAUCAGGUGGCUGGAAGCUUAAGAUGACCAUUACAUCUGUCUUGGUGAUUGACUUUGGAAGAGUCUUGAAGAUGAUCUAACUUUCUCAGAUUGAACUUUCAAGCUGUGAUACUUUUCUUGAAGCUAUUUGUACAUUAAUUAAUACAGAAAAUUUCUUAGCAGGCUUAUUGUGUAGCUUGAGGUAGAUGCUCCCCCACAAUCUUCCCUGCUUCAGCCUUUCC